AGCAGCCGCGGUAAUUCCAGCUCCAAUAGCGUAUAUUAAAGUUGUUGCAGUUAAAAAGCUCGUAGUUGAAUUUCGGGGUCAGUGAGCUGGUCGUGCCACUGGUAUGCACUGGCUUUACUGAUUCCUCCUUCUUGAAGAACUGUAAUGCUAUUAAUUUAGUGUUGCAGGGAAACAGGACUGUUACUUUGAAAAAUUAGAGUGUUUAAAGCAGGCUAACGCUUGAAUACAUUAGCAUGGAAUAAUGAAAUAGGACGUUUGAUCCUAUUUUGUUGGUUUCUAGGAUUGACGUAAUGAUUAAUAGGGAUAGUUGGGGGCAUUAGUAUUCAAUUGUCAGAGGUGAAAUUCUUGGAUUUAUUGAAGACUGACUACUGCGAAAGCAUUUGCCAAGGAUGUUUUCAUUAAUCAAGAACGAAAGUUAGGGGAUCGAAGACGAUCAGAUACCGUCGUAGU
rnacentral:rRNA from 1 species